GAGAGAGAGAGAGAGAGAGAGACAGAAUCUGAAGCAGGCUCCAGGCUCUGAGCUGUUAGCUCAGUGCUGAAUGUGGGGCUCGAACCCACGAACCGUAAGAUCAUGACCUGAACCAAAGUCAGCGCUUAACUGACUGAGCCACCCAGGCAUCCCUGAAUGAUGGAGGCCUUCUUGCUGUGUCCUCACAGGAUGGAGAGAGGAAGAAUAAACAGGAGCCACUCCCCAAAGAGAGGAUCUGCUGCUAUCAGAAGUAUGCUCUUUCAGAACAUAGCACAUGAAAGCAAGGACUGAGGUACCCUGUGGUGCUUGAAUGUCUGUGAACUCUUUCUUAAAGCAAGUCCUGAUAAGAGGGAGGAUACCCAAGGGAGAAGGAGGACAGAUCAACGGUAUAACAUUUUUUCCUUCCCCCAGUACGCCCAACCAGUAAGACUUGACUCACCCUUUCUCAGGAACUGAUAUAGAAAGAGGAUCUCAUUGAUCGUUUUACUGGGCUUCUGAAUCAGUCAAGUGAGGUUUACUGCUGUAAAAAACAACACAAAACAAAACACGACAUUGAAUGGAUCUAUGAAACACAGGUUUCUGUCUUGUUUGCGUCAAGGUCCAACAGUGGCGAGGGAGGAGAAGAGGCCCUCUCUGCUCAGCACAGACAUCUGGUGACUCAGACUUACUCCGUGCGUCAGCGCUCAGAGAAAAGGCCUCAGGGAGGAGACAGGGUUGGAGAAUUGCAUGAAAGGCUUUACUUGGGAGGUGAUUCCCAGGCCACACUCGCUGUGUGUCCAGCACAGUCAUAGUGAGCUGCAAGCAUGCUCGGAAAAGUGCAAUGGCCUCACGUAAAUAGGCCGUACGUUUUAAUUCCAAAAAAACUCUUACCGUCAAUGAGCAGUAUUUUAAAAUACUUUUAAAAGCUGCCUUUGAAAUCCGUUUAAAAAAAAAAAAGCCCAAGAACUAUAUCUUUUGGAGGUCACAUAUAAUUUUUGUAAUAGAGUUAACAUUUAAUAAUGUAAAUAUCAUGUGGUAGAUAUAUUGAGGUACCAGAACAUAAAGUUAUAUUCUGAAAAGAAUAUUUGAACCAGAUUUUAAAAUAACCUUGAUGUUAAGGAUGCUGCAUAACUAAGUCUGGUUGGAAGUUCUUCAUCAUAGGGGCUCAUGGGUGGCUUGGUCAGUUGAGCGUCCGACUUCGGCUCAGGUCAUGAUCUCAUGGUUCGUGAGUUCGAGCCCCGCGUCGGGCUCUGUGCCGACAGCUCUGAGCCUGGAGCCUGCUUCGGAUUCCGGAUUCCGUGUCUACCUCUCCCUCUUCCCCACCCCCGCUCUCUCUCUCUCUCUCUCUCUCUCUCUCUCUGUCUCUCAGAAAUGAAUAAACGUUAAAAAUUUUUUUUUAAAAGUUCUUCAUGGUAUCAAGCAAAAUAAAAAGUGCUAAAAAUAUUGUAGGAAGAAAGACAAGUCAAAUUCACGGUGAAAAUCGUCCCAUGUUUAGGAUUUUACCUGAAAAUGAUGCAUACAUCUGAUUUAAGUGGCUUAGCAGUUCCACAUGCAUUCUCUCCAAAAUUCUAAUUAAAAUUCUUCUGAAGACGCAGGGAGCAAGAGACAAAAAUUCCAAAGUACAGAAAGUAAAGACUGGCAGAACAUCUACUGCCAGAAUCUUGGAAGACUUGACAGUAAGUAUAAGGUAAACGGAUCCGGAUGGAGAAUAAUCUUCUCAGACUUGAGCACAUAGCACACUUUGAGUCGGCUUCAUGAAACCAAACCACCUGAAGCAGGCAGGAGGAUGAUGAGUGCCUCCUUCCCCAUGUGCUAUCAAGUUUAAAUACACAGGAUGAGCCCCCACAGUUCCUCACCUGUGGGAAUAUCUUUUCAGUCCAGGCAAAGAAUAAGGGGCCCAUAAAAUAACUAAGUGGAGAGUCAGGCUAACUGGUGAUUGGUGCUGGGAGUGUAAUCUCAUGAGGAAAGGCGAGCACGUGCCUUCAGGAAAAACCCUGGGAGCAGUGCAUGCUAGGAAAUUAUGGUUCUUUAUUUACUGUAUCUACCCAGAGGACUGGGAUGUUACGCAGCAGGAAAUGUGGCUCAGUGCAGUUAAGAGUGCCAGAAGUUCCAUUGGAACAGGAUUUUCUUAUUCGCUGCUUCAACUGGGUGCCUUGAACAGUGGCUGGUACAGAGUAGUUAUUGAAUAUAAUGAUACAGAGAAUUGACUGGAAAUGUGGUCUUCAACUCCAUGCCACUGUAAAUCUUAGUGUAAACCUAAAGGAUACAGACGAAAAAAAUAUAAUCAUUAUCAUUAUUACUAUUAUUAUUAGCAUCAUAAUUUAUUACAAUUACAUCUAAUAUUCAGAGAGCUCUGUACUUAACUGCCAGACACUCUGCUAACAUGAUUUUAUUUGAUGUUAUUCAUAUGACAACCCUGGGAAACGGACAAUAGUAUUAUCCUCAUUUGAAACAAACCUGCCAGAGGUUACUGAAAGUAGCAAAUCUAGGAUUUGAACCCAGGCAUUGGUUCCAGAAUCCAAGCUCUUAACCGAACUCAAAACAAAAAAGUCAUAUGGUGGCAGAUACCACUCUUGGAAUAUUUUUCUCGUUACGUAUAGUGUGAUGGAACCCCCAGGUAUUGUUUUGGUAUAUGGCACCUAGAAAUAAAGACAAACAUUACUGGCUCUGUUAAAAGGGGGUGCAGUCAGAGAAAGAUGUUCACUCUGAUGUAAUGAAAUGGAGGUGAUAUGUACAAGACUAGAGACAUUCAGAGAAGAGACUGCAGAGAAUAUUCUCCUUUGCUCCUUCCUUCUUCCCAGUGGUGAUUCUGCAGUUGCUGCCUCGGCUGCAGGCUUGCCCAUGGUUAAGAGUUCUCUUCGCAUUCUGGGAGCCACCUAGAGGUAAAGGCCAAAUGAAUGUAUCGUCUUUCUACCCCAAACUGUUGUUUUAGAAAGCUGUGAUGUAGCUUCUUCAAGGAAAGAAAAGUGGAAUAAGAGUUCAGGAUCUAGUAUGCAUGAAAUUAGCUUUUAGGCUUAAAGUCUACGUCUAGACAAAAAUGUUCGGCUGCAGUUUCUUGGACACGGGGACCAAGCAAACAAAUCAAAACCCUUCACAAAGAGUUGAAAUGAGUGAAAAGUCAUGAGCCUAGCCUACAAAAAUUUGUGAAAAUUCAUUCUUUAAAAUCAACUUAGGGGGCUCCCAAACCCGCAGGUCACAAAAACUCUGGAUACUCUAGGAAGGGCAUCCUGGGAUGGUUUAUGGAAGAUAGGGGACAAAGAACAAUCUCCCAGAGACAGAGGCUGGUACUACAGACAAAAAGGAGAUUUUUUUUUUUCUCCCUUAGAAAGAAGAAUCAGGGACUGAGAGCUCAACAAGCUUGAAAACUUAUGGUACCACCCAUAAAGGAAACCUUUCUUGGUCUUAUCAAGGGAAGCUUGAUAAUUGCUGUUGACCAGAAGCCUACUACUUAUUACUUGGGAAUUUUAAUUAUGAUUACUCUUUAACAGUUUUCUACCACUUAUAAACAAUCAGGCCAUCGGAAGCCCUAUCUUGGCUCAAUGGGAGGAAGUGAACAUCCCUAGAGACCUUGCACUUGGAGGGAGCUUUGGAAUUGUUUCUCUGGAAGUGACAAUCAGUGUGUUUCGAGCGCAAGCAUCAGUGCUUAUGGAUAUGUCAUAUCAGAGGCCGAUGGGUCUUUUCCAGUUUCCGUUUAUCCUUCUUCACUAGGAGGAACUUAGAAUAUAAAUUAGGCACAUGAGUACCUUGUGUAAAGCUGGCAUUUUCCAAGUUAUCUUGAAGCUAAGUGUUGCAGUGUGACAAUGUUCUGGUCAUGGUCAGGGUCUUGUAGAGGUGGUUUGUAUAGCUUCUGACAAGUCUUAACAAAGGCAAUGAUGCAGUGAGGGGUCUCAGUGUUACCUUUUUCUGUUGGAUUGAAUACCAAUGUGAUAGCUGGAGUUGCACAGCCAUCUGGGACUAUGACGUAGAAAUGCAGUAUGGAGAAUCCUUGGUUCCUAAUGAUGUUUAAGCCAUAAUAUUUGUCUUCGAAUGCCUAUGUUGCAUGACAGAGACUAACUUUGUGUAUUUUAUGCCUGUUAAAAACCACUGUUAUUUAUUUACUUUUAAAAUUUCUAUCCAAGCUAUAUCCCUAUUAAUUCAUGUUGAAUGACAAUUAAAUAAGACUCGUACCAUGAUAAACCUGGUAAAAAUGU